rnacentral:rRNA from 1 species
AAGUUGAAAAGAACUUUGAAAAGAGAGUUAAAAAGUGCGUGAAACCGUUAGUGGGGAAACGGAUGCAGUUAGCAAUGCUUCGGCGAGAUUCAGGCGGUCACCUGGCUGGACGGGCAGUGUGUGGAUCCGAAUGGACUGUCGCUGCUUGGCUUGGUCUUGUGCUCGUCGCACUUCUCGUCGAAGCGCGUCAACAGCUGCUUGACUUGAGCGAUACGGUGCUCGGGAAGGUAGGCGUGUGUCUUCGGACUUGCGUUGUUAUAGCCCGUGGCAUUCCCAGUUCGAGUUUGGCAGAGGCGAACGGUGCAUGCUCUCUAGGGGGCUGGCGUCCUUCUCUUGAUCGAUUGUCGAGCAUGGCGGACUGCUUGCAGUGCGUCUGAACUGCUGUUGGUCAUUCGGGAGGAUCGCGCACACUAUGCACCUAGGUUGUUGGCGGCCAUAUGGCUUCAUCUGACCCGUCUUGAAACACGGACCAAGGAGUCUAACAUGUGCGCAAGUCUUGGGGUGACCGAAACCCAAAGGCGCAAUGAAAGUAAAGGCUGCCUGGCAGCCGAGGUGAGAUCUUCGUUCCGCGUGUCCGAAGCGCAUCAUCGACCGACCUAUUCUACUCCUAGAAAGGUUUGAGUAAGAGCGCAUCUGUUGGGACC